rnacentral:rRNA from 1 species
GGGGGGGGGGGGGGGGGGGGGGGGGGGGGGGGGGGCGGGGGGGGGGGGCGGGCGUGGGGGGGGGUCGGGUGGCGAGCGGGUGAGUGACGCGGGGGGGGUCUGCCCUGCACUGCGGGAGAGGCCGGGGAAAGUGGGUCGAAUACCGGAGAGGGGCCCUUUGUAGUGUGAUGGUUGGAAAGUUUUUUCGGUGUAGGAUGAGCUCGCGGCCUAUCGGCUUGUUGGUGGGGUAAUGGCCUACCAAGGCGGCGACGGGUAGCCGGCCUGCGAGGGUGGACGGCCACAUUGGGACUGAGAUACGGCCCAGACUCCGACGGGAGGCAGCAGUGGGGAAUAUUGCACAAGGGGCGCAAGCCUGAUGCAGCGACGCCGCGUGGGGGAUGACGGCCUUCGGGUUGUAAACUCCUUUCGCUAGGGACGAAGCUUUUUGUGACGGUACCUAGAUAAGAAGCACCGGCUAACUACGUG